UACGUAGGGACCAAGCGUUGUUCGGAUUUACUGGGCGUAAAGGGCGCGUAGGCGGCGCUGUUAGUCACUUGUGAAAUCUCCGGGCUUAACUCGGAACGGCCAAGUGAUACUGCAGUGCUAGAGUGCGGAAGGGGCAAUCGGAAUUCUCGGUGUAGCGGUGAAAUGCGUAGAUAUCGAGAGGAACACCUGCGGCGAAGGCGGGUUGCUGGGCUGACACUGACGCUGAUGCGCGAAAGCUAGGGGAGCGAACGGG
rnacentral:rRNA from 1 species